rnacentral:rRNA from 1 species
UGAUGGUGCUUGCACCUGAUUGAUUUUGGUCGCCAACGAGUGGCGGACGGGUGAGUAACACGUAGGUAACCUGCCCAGAAGCGGGGGACAACAUUUGGAAACAGAUGCUAAUACCGCAUAACAACGUUGUUCGCAUGAACAACGCUUAAAAGAUGGCUUCUCGCUAUCACUUCUGGAUGGACCUGCGGUGCAUUAGCUUGUUGGUGGGGUAAUGGCCUACCAAGGCGAUGAUGCAUAGCCGAGUUGAGAGACUGAUCGGCCACAAUGGGACUGAGACACGGCCCAUACUCCUACGGGAGGCAGCAGUAGGGAAUCUUCCACAAUGGGCGCAAGCCUGAUGGAGCAACACCGCGUGAGUGAAGAAGGGUUUCGGCUCGUAAAGCUCUGUUGUUAAAGAAGAACACGUAUGAGAGUAACUGUUCAUACGUUGACGGUAUUUAACCAGAAAGUCACGGCUAACUACGUGCCAGCAGCCGCGGUAAUACGUAGGUGGCAAGCGU